ACUCCUACGGGAGGCAGCAGUGGGAAUAUUGCACAAUGGGCGCAAGCCUGAUGCAGCCAUGCCGCGUGUGUGAAGAAGGCCUUCGGGUUGUAAAGCACUUUCAGUUGUGAGGAAGGUGUGUACGUAAUAGCGCAUCAUUGACGUUAGCAACAGAAGAAGCACCGGCUAACUCCGUGCCAGCAGCCGCGGUAAUACGGAGGGUGCGAGCGUUAAUCGGAAUUACUGGGCGUAAAGCGCAUGCAGGCGGCCUGUUAAGUCAGAUGUGAAAGCCCGGGGCUUAACCUGCAGAUUGCAUUUGAAACUGGCAGGCUAGAGUU
rnacentral:rRNA from 1 species